GAUGAGCACAGCAUGCAAUACAGUGCCAGGGGCUCCCAGUCCUACUUCACCGUGGCCCAUGCCAUCUCUGAAAGGGUGGAGAAACAGUCGGCCCUCCUCUUCAAUGGGACCCUGAAGCAUUAUCAGCUCCAGGGCCUGGAAUGGAUGGUUUCUCUGUAUGAUAACAAUUUGAACAGAAUCUUUGCCGAUGAAAUGGGGCUGGGAAAGACAAUACAGACCAUUGCACUCAUCACUUAUCUGAUGGAUCACAAAAGACUCAAUGGCCCCUAUCUCAUCAUUGUCCCCCUUUCGACUCUAACUGGACGUAUGAAUUUGACAAAGGCUCCUUCUGUGGUGAAAAUUCCUUACAAGGGCACCCCGCCAUGCGUCGCUCCCUUGUCCCCAGUUACGGAGUGGCAAAUUCAAUGCCCUCCUGACUACUUAUGAGUACAUUUUAAAGACAAGCACAUUCUUGCAAAGACUCGGUGGAAAUACAUGAUAGUGGACGAAGGCCACCAAAUGAAGAAUCACCACUGCAAGCUGACUCAGGUCCUGAACACUCACUAUGUGGCCCCCAGAAGGAUCCUCUUGACUGGGAUCCCCCUGCAGAAUAAGUUCCCGGAACUCUGGGCCCUCCUCAACUUCCUCCUUCCUACAAUUUUUAAGAGCUGCAGCGUGUUUGAGCAGUGGUUUAAUGCUCCAUUUGCCAUGACUGGAGAGAGAGUGGACUUAAAUGAAGAAGAAACUAUAUUGAUCAUCAGGCAUCUGCAUAAGGUGUUGAGACCAUUUUUACUGAGGAGACUGAAGAAAGAAGUUGAAUCCCAGCUUCCAGAAAAAGUUGAAUAUGUGAUCAAGUGUGACAUGUCAGCUCUGCAGAAGAUUCUGUAUCGCCAUAUGCAAGUCAAAGGGAUCCUUCUCACAGAUAGUUCGGAGAAAGAUAAGAAGGGGAAAGGAGGUGCUAAGACAUUUAUGAACGCUAUCAUGCAGUUGAGAAAAGUCUGCAAUCAUGCAUAUAUGUUUCAGCACAUUGAGGAAUCCUUUGCUGAACACCUGGGCUUUUCAAAUGGGGUCAUCAAUGGGUCUGAGCUGCAUCGGGCCUCAGGAAGUUUGACCUACUUGAUCGUAUCCUACCAACAUUGAGAACGACUGAUCACCGCGUCCUGCUUUUCUGCCAGAUGACGUCUCUCAUGACCAUCAUGGAGGAUUAUUUUGCUUUUCGGAACUUCCUUUACCUGCGCCUUGAUGGCACCACCAAUUCUGAAGAUCAUGCUGCUUUGCUGAAGAAAUUCAAUCAACCUCUGUCCCGGUAUUUCAUUUUCUUGCUGAGCACAAGAGCUGGAGGCCUGGGCUUAAAUCUCCCGGCAGCUGAUACCAUGGUCAUUUUUGACAGCGACUGGAAUCCUCCUUAGGACCUGCUAGCACAAGACCACAUCCACCGCAUCGGCCAGCAGAACAACGUCCGCGUGCUGAGACUCUUCACCGUGAAUAGUGUGGAGGAAAAGAUCCUCACAGCCGCAAAGUACAAGCUUAUUCUUUUUGUUGCAGUGAAGAGGAAAUUGUCCUCCAGAGAGGUAGAUCUGCCCAAGGUCGUCACAUCAUCGAGGAAAUGCCACCACCCUGCCAUGGGGAAAGUGCAGUCUUCCCCCAACGCAGCUCACCCUCAGCACUCUGAAACCUGUGGAAGACAUGUGUCCAUUGGACCCCCAAUUCUCCACUGUCAAGCUCUGCAGGAAGCACCUGGCCAUCCUCCUCCAUGA